rnacentral:rRNA from 1 species
AGCGAACGCUGGCGGCAGGCCUAACACAUGCAAGUCGAACGAAGUCUUCGGACUUAGUGGCGGACGGGUGAGUAACACGUGGGAACGUACCUUUUGGCUCGGAACAACUCAGGGAAACUUGAGCUAAUACCGGAUGAGCCCUUAGGGGGAAAGAUUUAUCGCCGAAAGAGCGGCCCGCGUUAGAUUGCUAGUUGGUGAGGUAAAGGCUCACCAAGGCUACGAUCUAUAGCUGGUCUGAGAGGAUGAUCAGCCACACUGGGACUGAGACACGGCCCAGACUCCUACGGGAGGCAGCAGUGGGGAAUCUUGCGCAAUGGGCGAAAGCCUGACGCAGCCAUGCCGCGUGAAUGAUGAAGGUCUUAGGAUUGUAAAAUUCUUUUACCAGGGACGAUAAUGACGGUACCUGGAGAAAAAGCCCCGGCUAACUUCGUGCCAGCCGCCGCCGUAAUAC